rnacentral:snRNA from 1 species
AGCUUUACGCAGUGGCACUAUCGUAGCCAAUGAGGUUUAACCGAAGCACGAUUAUUGCUCAUUGAAAACUUUUCCCAAUACCCUGCCAUGACGUCUUGAAAUAUAGAUGAGGAAACAGAGACGCAUUAGUAGAAAGCCUAGAUAGC